CCCUACUCUACCAGGCUACUCCAGAAGAGUCCGGAAUAGAUUCUCCUGCCAGUGUGUUAAAUUUGCUCGCAGGUUCACCUUUGUGUGUCCACCAGCAUGAACUGCAUAAGGGAAUGCAAAUGAGCCCCUACCUGGGGAAAUCUGAGGCCAGAAGGAAGACAACGUGCAGGAGAGGAAGGUGACGGCAAUUAAAGAAGGGAUCGCCUCACUCCAGAAUGUCCGAGGCCCUUUGGAGAAACUGCUGUUUCCCCCAAACCCUCUACAUGGCCGCUUGCUAGCAGGUCUCCCCAGCGAUCACCUCCAUUGGUUUUGUCCUUUUGGCAAAACUGUUUGUUGAAUCAAUGUCAGCACUGCGAGUGAGGCCAGAAACCCCUCUCACAACCUUGGCCGAAGCAGGAAUUCAUGGGAGCUGCAAAGGGUUACGAAUAAAAUGCAGUCACAAAGGAAGAAGGUUGAAACCACCAGCAUUCUGGAAAAGGCAGCAUGGGGAAGCAGACUCAGAGCUGAUGACUCAAACCACUCAUUCUCCAGUCUUAUUUUA
ensembl:lncRNA